GACGAACGCUGGCGGCGUGCUUAACACAUGCAAGUCGAACGGUAGGGCCCUUCGGGGUACACGAGUGGCGAACGGGUGAGUAACACGUGGGUGAUCUGCCCUGCACUUCGGGAUAAGCCUGGGAAACUGGGUCUAAUACCGGAUAGGACCACUGCCUGCAUGGGUGGUGGUGGAAAGCUUUUGCGGUGUGGGAUGGGCCCGCGGCCUAUCAGGUUGUGGGUGGGGUGAUGGCCUACCAAGGCGACGACGGGUAGCCGGCCUGAGAGGGUGACCGGCCACACUGGGACUGAGAUACGGCCCAGACUCCUACGGGAGGCAGCAGUGGGGAAUAUUGCACAAUGGGCGCAAGCCUGAUGCAGCGACGCCGCGUGAGGGAUGACGGCCUUCGGGUUGUAAACCUCUUUCAGCACCGACGAAGCGCAAGUGACGGUAGGUGCAGAAGAAGGACCGGCCAACUACGUGCCAGCCGCCGCGGUAA
rnacentral:rRNA from 1 species